AACGAACGCUGGCGGCAGGCCUAACACAUGCAAGUCGAGCGAGACCUUCGGGUCUAGCGGCGGACGGGUGAGUAACGCGUGGGAACGUGCCUUUUGCUUCGGAAUAGCCCCGAGAAACUGGGAGUAAUACCGAAUGUGCUCUACGGAGGAAAGAUUUAUCGGCAAAAGAUCGGCCCGCGUUGGAUUAGGUAGUUGGUGGGGUAAUGGCCUACCAAGCCGACGAUCCAUAGCUGGUUUGAGAGGAUGAUCAGCCACACUGGGACUGAGACACGGCCCAGACUCCUACGGGAGGCAGCAGUGGGGAAUCUUAGACAAUGGGGGAAACCCUGAUCUAGCCAUGCCGCGUGAGCGAUGAAGGCCUUAGGGUUGUAAAGCUCUUUCACCGGGGAAGAUAAUGACGGUACCCGGAGAAGAAGCCCCGGCUAACUCCGUGCCAGCCGCCGCCGUAA
rnacentral:rRNA from 1 species